rnacentral:tRNA from 1 species
GCCCUCGUGGCCUAACGGAUAAGGCAUCGGUCUUCUAAACCGGGGGAUUGCGGGUUCGAGUCCCGCCGAGGGUG